UGCAUAGAAAUGUAAACAGGUAUCAAAGGCCUAAGGCUGAAAGAGGCACCUGCUAAGGAAGUGACAACUUCAGCUUCUGUCAGAAGAAUCUAACACACAGUAACAACCCUCUUUGCAAACCAAGCAGUGUAAAGAGGCAAAAAGUGCUUGUGGAGCUUCAUCUUGGCCCCCAUUUGAUGUCUUUCACACCAUGAAACUGUCUUUUCAAAGCAUGGCUGUCUGCCCACUCAGCAUUUAGAAAUGAAUCGUCGUCAUCCUCUUCAAGUUUCUUAAGUUCUUCCUGCUUUUUGUAGUAAUACAGCAUCAUCUGUUUUUGUUCUUCAUGGCUAAUCAGAGGCUCACGUCCUGGAGCUCCUUGUCCUUUUUUCUGUAUCUUGACAAUGAUGGUCGUUUUCUCAUUUCUGCCUACAUAGUCAGAAAGCAACUUUGUUUCUUUCAACUCUUUUCCUGCCCACCAUAACUGCGCUUCGCCUUCUUCUAUGACUUCGAGCCCAGCGUGAGUCCCCGACAGGUCUUCUUUAUCUUCCAGCUCCAUCCUAACUGGAUCAUGCGGAGGCAAUCCCAUUGGAUACACAAUCAUCACAGCCCCUCGGAGUUGGUCCAAUGCAUCUUUCACCAUCUCCAGAUUAACACACACGUUGGCCUGAACUUGUUUCUUGGAGAUUAAUGCCUUGGCUUCCUCUAUGGUCUUUCUUAUAACUUGCUGCAUUUUCUCAUUCGGAGCAUGUCCGUUCCUCCGUCCAAUCUCAUCCUUCUUGAAGACACUCCCGCCGCUGGGAACGCACUUUUCUGCCCACUCGUCCUUUAACUUCAGUUCUUCAAUCUGCUCGUCCGUCAGCCCUUGCAUAUUGAGCGGCAAGUACGCACCGUGCUCCGCCAGCUCCUGCAUCUCUGCGCACAGCCGCUGCACCUUCAGCCUGCCGUUGUAGAUGCGGGCGACGAGAGGCGCCAGCUCGGCGAGGCGGGCGCCGCAGGCCGCCUCCAGCAGGAACUGGCUCUCAUCGCCGCGCUUCACGUGCAGCCGCACCAUGGCGGGGCCGGGGCGAGCAGGGAGACGACGGCGGGACCCCGCGGUAGCUCCCGCGGCACGUCGCGCGUGCGCGGGAGGCGUUUGGAGCCGCU
rnacentral:lncRNA from 1 species